rnacentral:rRNA from 1 species
GAUGAACGCUGGCGGCGUGCUUAACACAUGCAAGUCGAACGGAAAGGCCCAAGCUUGCUUGGGUACUCGAGUGGCGAACGGGUGAGUAACACGUGGGUGAUCUGCCCUGCACUUUGGGAUAAGCCUGGGAAACUGGGUCUAAUACCGGAUAGGACCACAUUUUGGAUGGUGUGGUGGAAAGUUUUUCGGUGUGGGAUGAGCUCGCGGCCUAUCAGCUUGUUGGUGGGGUAAUGGCCUACCAAGGCGUCGACGGGUAGCCGGCCUGAGAGGGUGUACGGCCACAUUGGGACUGAGAUACGGCCCAGACUCCUACGGGAGGCAGCAGUGGGGAAUAUUGCACAAUGGGCGCAAGCCUGAUGCAGCGACGCCGCGUGGGGGAUGACGGCCUUCGGGUUGUAAACUCCUUUCGCUAGGGACGAAGCGCAAGUGACGGUACCUGGAGAAGAAGCACCGGCUAACUACGUG